rnacentral:lncRNA from 1 species
UACUUUCAUUAUCCCGAUAUUUGCCUUCGCCUUCAAAAAUGUGUCAAAGCAAUAGUUCUACAAAAACGACGAUUUGAAUUCUCGUCAGUAUCAUUUUGUAUCAUUAAAAAAAACGAAUCAUAAAGUUAAGCAUAACAAAAUAGUUGACGUUAAAUUGGAACAUUUUUGCUUCUUCUUUCGACCCAUGAUUGUAAAUUAAAGUGUUUUUCUACUCGAGGAGGGGAAGCAUUCACAAGACAAGUAUUGACGUAGGUAUUAUUUGGGGCUGCAUAAAGUUUUGAGUGAGCCUAAACUUGAGAAAACAAAUAUGUUCUUCUAAUCAAAUAGUAACUUGCCAUAGAUAGCCAUUUCCUCCUAGAGGGACCCUAUGAGUAUAUAUAGAAUAAUAGAAAUUCUAUGCUUUCUUUCCCUGCUAAAUCUCAUACGGAAAGGAAUAACAGCUGAUUGUAGUUUCGAAAUUUUCUAUAUCAUGAGUAUAUAUUGACAUUUGACAUGGUAAACGGUAAUUGAAAAAUCUUAUACAUCUCUAGUCUAUCUACCAAUAAUCUUCAUCAGCAAGGAUCGUUGAUUUCUUACAAGUAAAUCUGAGGUCCUUUGCACCAACAACCUGCAAACAAAUACUGACGACAAUAUAAUAUCCUUUUCAAGAUCUUAAUCUCAGUUGGUCACGUGGAUCUCUUUCUUUUUAGCUUGAUGACAGUGGUACAUGUCUGGACCGAUUGAGGACCUCCAAUCCCCUUGUGUUUUUAUUUAGAGUUUGGUUGAACUUAUUGGUGAAUAUUGAACUGGAAGUAAUUGGACAUCAUGUAUGAUCAAUUGUGAAGAGGGUUUGGUCCACUAGGGACUAAUCUUCGGGACACUAUGUGCAAUUGUUUUCCUUGAACAUAGCGAGGAAUGGUUUUGAAGUACCUGAAAAAUGUUGAAUAGAACUUGGUUCUUAUUCUUUCUUCAUUAUCAUCAUCAUCUGCUUCCUUGCUAUGGACCUUCCCAAAAAGGAUUAUCAAAGCGAUGAACAACAGAAAACAUGGUUGAAUCUUCAUAAUGUAAGCUUAAGGGAAUUAGAAAACUAAAAGAGAUCCAAAAAGGUAUUUUCUAAGUUUGAUUUAUAUAUGUCAAGCUGGAACUUGGAAUGUUGAAAAUGUAUAUUUAUAGAGGGAAUGGCCGUUGGUCACACACAUGAUUAUGACAAGAAUUUC